rnacentral:rRNA from 1 species
GACGAACGCUGGCGGCGCGCCUAACACAUGCAAGUCGAGCGGAGUUAGAAUUUCGGUUUUAACUUAGCGGCGGACGGGUGAGUAACGCGUGAGUAACCUGCCCUUCAGCGGGGGAUAGCGUCUGGAAACGGACGAUAAUACCGCAUAACGUGUGAAGAAGACAUCUUUUUUACACCAAAGGAUUUAUUCACUGAAGGAUGGACUCGCGUCCGAUUAGGUAGUUGGUGAGGUAACGGCCCACCAAGCCGACGAUCGGUAGCCGGACUGAGAGGUUGAUCGGCCACAUUGGGACUGAGACACGGCCCAGACUCCUACGGGAGGCAGCAGUGGGGGAUAUUGCACAAUGGAGGGAACUCUGAAUGCAGCGACGCCGCGUGAGGGAAGAAGGUCUUCGGGAUUGUAAACCUCUGUCUUUAGGGACGAAGAAAGUGAACGGUACCUAAAGAGGAAGCCACGGCUAAACUACGUAGCCAGCAGCCGACGGUAAAACGUAGCGUAG